rnacentral:rRNA from 1 species
GAUGAACGCUGGCGGCGUGCCUAAUACAUGCAAGUCGAGCGAACGGACGAGAAGCUUGCUUCUCUGAUGUUAGCGGCGGACGGGUGAGUAACACGUGGAUAACCUACCUAUAAGACUGGGAUAACUUCGGGAAACCGUAGCUAAUACCGGAUAAUAUUUUGAACCGCAUGGUUCAAAAGUGAAAGACGGUCUUGCUGUCACUUAUAGAUGGAUCCGCGCUGCAUUAGCUAGUUGGUAAGGUAACGGCUUACCAAGGCAACGAUGCAUAGCCGACCUGAGAGGGUGAUCAGCCACACUGGAACUUAGACACGGUCCAGACUCCUACGGGAGGCAGCAGUAGGGAAUCUUCCGCAAUGGGCGAAAGCCUAACGGAGCAACGCCGCGUGAGUGAUGAAGGUCUUCGGAUCGUAAAACUCUGUUAUUAGGGAAGAACAUAUGUGUAAGUAACUGUGCACAUCUUGACGGUACCUAAUCAGAAAGCCACGGCUAACUACGUG